UCGGGAAUUUUGGGCAAUGGGCGAAAGCCUGACCCAGCAACGCCGCGUGAAGGAUGAAGUAUUUCGGUAUGUAAACUUCGAAAGAAUAGGAAGAAUAAAUGACGGUACUAUUUAUAAGGUCCGGCUAACUACGUGCCAGCAGCCGCGGUAAUACGUAGGGACCAAGCGUUGUUCGGAUUUACUGGGCGUAAAGGGCGCGUAGGCGGCUUGACAAGUCACUUGUGAAGUCUCCGGGCUUAACUCGGAACGGCCAAGUGAAACUGUCAUGCUAGAGUGCAGAAGGGGCAAUCGGAAUUCUUGGUGUAGCGGUGAAAUGCGUAGAUAUCAAGAGGAACACCUGAGGUGAAGACGGGUUGCUGGGCUGACACUGACGCUGAGGCGCGAAAGCCAGGGGAGCAAACGGGAUUAGAUACCCAAGUAGUCCCUGAGCGGGCUGGCAAGGCGCAU
rnacentral:rRNA from 1 species